rnacentral:rRNA from 1 species
UACGUAGGGUGCAAGCGUUAAUCGGAAUGACUGGGCGUAAAGGGUGCGCAGGCGGUUUGCUAAGAUAGAGGUGAAAUCCCCUGGCUCAACCAGGGCAGGGCCUCUAUGACUGGCAAGCUUGAGUAGGGCAGAGGGAGGCGGAAUGCCACGUGUAGCAGUGAAAUGCGUAGAGAUGUGGCGGAACACCGAUGGCGAAGGCAGCCUCCUGGGCCCAUACUGACGCUCAGGCACGAAAAGCGUGGGGGAGCAAAACAGG